GCCUUUAGCAUAACAAGUAUUAAAGGUCCUGCCUGCCCAGUGAAAUUUUUAACGGCCGCGGUAUUCUAACCGUGCAAAGGUAGCGUAAUCACUUGUCUUCUAAAUAAAGACCAGUAUGAAUGGCUAAAUGAGGAUAAAACUGUCUCCUACAACCUAUCAGUGAAAUUGAUCUUCCAGUCCAAAAGCUGGAAUAUUCACAUAAGACGAGAAGACCCUGUGGAGCUUAAAACCCGUAUGCUAACAAACAAACAAAGUAUGUAGUAGGCGGUUUUAAGUUGGGGCGACUUCGGAACAAAGAAGAACUUCCGAGCACAGAACCACAAUUUCUAACCAAGGUUAACAAACCAAAGCAAAAAUUGACCCAGUCAAACUGAUUAACGAACCAAGUUACCCCAGGGAUAACAGCGCUAUCUUCUUCGAGAGUCCAUAUCGACAAGAAGGUUUACGACCUCGAUGUUGGAUCAGGGCACCCAAAUGGUGCAACCGCUAUUAAAGGUUCGUUUGUUCAACGAUUAACAGCC
rnacentral:rRNA from 1 species